CUGGUGUGCUGCUCUUACUUCAGGCUACAGAUACUCUUCCUCUUUUACGUACAGGAUCUCGUGAGCCGAGCUGGGAACCUGCAGAGACAGACAGAGAGGAAGACGGAAAAAUAAAGAAAGUAUUUGUGGCUAAAGGAGGCGGUCCCUGAUGACGAUGGAGGAAGUGGAGCAUCGGGGGAAGGUCAUGGGAGCCAACCUCUCCCACUUCUUUCUCUGAGGAUGAAAGGCCUCCACUGUGUCCAGGGCUGAGGGCUCAUGACCUGGAGGACGCACGCAGAGAUUCCUCCAGCUACUACCAUCCGGCCACGCAGGAAGGCAGCAGCAAAGUCAGCUCUCUUUGUUUUCAUCGCCACCGUCUCCUCCGACUUCAACCAGGUUCCUAUACAGAAGAAGAAGAAGAAGAAACGACAGCUGAAGCCAACAGCCAUACAGGAUCCCUCAACAUCCUCCCACCAACAGCACUGCCAGGAUGGAAACCCCCCUGCUGGGAGCUGAACCCCAGUGCACACUAAGAGCGAACAAGUCCAUCUGCAAGUGUGGAGGACAUGACAGUUUUAACUGAAUCUCCCCAGCAACGUGACAUGUAAGGCUGACAAUGAAGACACGUGACCUGAGCAGAGGUGACAUUUCCUUCACAUUCAAAGCUGACACAGUCCACAUCAUAAAAACGUGUAUUUGAAAGUGACGGAAAUAAAAACGUAGCCAUCGAAAUAAUCUUUCUUUUUGCCCGACAGGUUCUACAGAAGUUUUCUUUCUUUUUUUUGCUUGUAGGUUUUACUGCUGCCAUGGCUUGUUUAUCUGAAGGAAACUCAGACUGAAGAGAAUGGUGACAGAGGAGGAAAGAUAACUUCAUUAGGGAGCGAGGGAGGAGGAGGACAGAGAAGCAGAAAGGAAGACAAAAAAGUCCAAAAAAUGCCUUGCUCUUUAUCUUUAACUAUAGUCUGUUUUUCUCUGGAUUUAUCUGUCUUUUAUCUUUCCUCACACUUAUUUUCAAAUGUACUUUCUUCUGUCUGCCUUCUUUUCCUCAUUUUCUCUCUCAUUGUCUCCUUACUCUCUUUUCAUUAUCACCCCCUUUCCUAUCGCGCUGCUAUUCCGCCCUCUCUCUUCUCUUUCAAUUUCAAUCUUUCUCCUUAAACAAGAGGCAGAGACAACAAAGUGGGGAGAAACAAACAAACAGAGGCAGGGAGAAUGAAAGAGAGACAAGCAUCCAGAUGGCAAAGCUUCCUGCAUGCUGCAGCAGAGCGUAAUGAAGAGCCGUGUUUUCCUCUCUGGCCUGGUUAAAUUACAGAAGAGGACAGGAUGGAGAUCGCAGCUGGUUGUCCACUCUGCUCCGUUCUCUCGGAGGAAAAUCCUCCUGUCAGAUAUUUCACUCUGCUAUGCAACACAAACCCAAGAUGCUGAAUAAAUUUCAUCAGUUAUGCUUGAUUUUUUUUGUGAAGGGCUGUGUGUUAAAACAUAUUCAUACUCCUCAAAGUAAGAAGUAAGGAAUCAAAAGUAAGUUUGAAACAAUACCCAACUGGUCAAAAAUUG